rnacentral:rRNA from 1 species
AACGAACGCUGGCGGCGUGCUUAACACAUGCAAGUCGAACGAUGAAGCCUUCGGGUGGAUUAGUGGCGAACGGGUGAGUAACACGUGGGUGAUCUGCCCUGCACUUUGGGAUAAGCCUGGGAAACUGGGUCUAAUACCGAAUAUGAUCAUGCUCUUCAUGGGGUGUGGUGGAAAGCUUUUGCGGUGUGGGAUGGGCCCGCGGCCUAUCAGCUUGUUGGUGGGGUAAUGGCCUACCAAGGCGACGACGGGUAGCCGGCCUGAGAGGGUGACCGGCCACACUGGGACUGAGAUACGGCCCAGACUCCUACGGGAGGCAGCAGUGGGGAAUAUUGCACAAUGGGCGCAAGCCUGAUGCAGCGACGCCGCGUGAGGGAUGACGGCCUUCGGGUUGUAAACCUCUUUCAGCAGGGACGAAGCGAAAGUGACGGUACCUGCAGAAGAAGGACCGGCCAACUACGUGCCAGCAGCCGCGGUAAAAC